GUGAAGAUUAAAUUAACUCUCCCUGCCCAUUUUUAGAUUUAAUCAACAAAAGUGCGAACACCCCACUCACACUUGAGUGGGGAGGUCUGUAACCUGUGUGUGCAAUAGUGGGUGACGAAUCAGAAUCACUGACUGUCCCUGGGCAAGCCUAAACAAAGCUUUAGCUAUAAUUGGUAGAUGUGAAAGUGGAGGAAAUCACAGGAAGUGAUGCAAAAGAAGUGUCUUUUUAAAAAAGGAGUUACAACUUCCUGUGAGGACUUUUUCUGGAGUUCUUCAAGCUUGGCACUUCUGAGUGCUCUCAUUCUUCACAGUUCUGAGUUUGAUUUGGAGGCUGCUGUUGGAUCUGAGACCUUAGACUUGGUGAGACUGUUCUUUGGACUGACACGCGUCUAUUGCAGGUUUAUACCUACAGUUUUUGUAUUUGAAAACCACAUGUUCUGAACCCACUCCUGGUAACUGUCCUACAGCUGCACUUAUCCAGCAAGAUAAUGUGUAUCAUUUGUCAAUCCUGGAUAUCAGAUGAACAUAUAAACUUUGUCAAAGGAUCCUAUGAAUUUGGAACUUCAAAAGGCUGGAAGUCCAGAGUUAUAAAGGGAUUUAUCUGUGGAACUGGUACUAAAGCUAAUAAGAAAAAAAAAGAUGAAUUGCCACCAAAUAAUAUGAAGAAUGAGUGAAGGCAUCCUUUAGGACUCUAUAUUGGAUGAGAAUUUUAGAGGAUCAGAAGGAUUCGAUUAUUAUCAUUGAUUAACUUUGAAGAAAAGAUAUCCUUGGCCAAGGUUCUGUGAACUCUCUAGAUCAGAGUUCUUAACCUGGGGUGGGGGUGGGUGGGAAGAGAGGGAGCUGGACUAAAAACUUUAUUUUAAUAUAAUGCUUUCUCUGUACUACCAUAAAUUUCAUUUUAUGCAUUAAAACAUUACUCUGAGACAAGGUCCAUAUGUUUCAUUAAACUACUAAAGAAGGUUAAGAAUCUCAGCAGAUGCACAGUUAAGAUCUAUUAACUUUUCUAACCACAAAGAAUUUUACUGGGACAGUAGGGAGAUCCUCACACUAUUUUCUAUAGCAAAAUGGUUAUUAAGGUGUAUGUGGAUGGGUGUGUAUGUGCAUGUGUGCAUGAAUUACAGUUGUUAUCUGAUGAAGAAUCAGAGGGCAAUGUCUGCUUGAAGAAUCACAGUGUCUCAGUGGAGUCAUCAUUAUAGUCCUUUGUUCAAUUGUCAAUAAUGUGUUAAUUAGAACAAAAAUCAAAUAACUCAAAAAAAUGGCCCCAUAGGGCAGUGAAGUUAAAGACUAAGUCAUUCGUCUUCAGAGACCAAUAUUUCAUUUUUAAUAGAGAUGGGCAUAGAGGGUGGACCUGAGAUUUCACUGGGCUAGACCUUUUUUAAGAUCUCAGAAUUGAGUUGCCUCAAAAACUGAGAGGUUAAUCAACUUGUUCAGGGUCAUCAGUAAUGCAGAAAAUGAACCAAGAUCUUCUUGGUUCUGAGACUGUUCUCUAACCAUUACAACCUACUGAUUCACUCACUUUCAAUAAAAAUGAAAAAUUAGGUCAUGGUAUUAAUAGCAGUUCAGGUGGCCAAAGACACCUAUCUUUAAAAAAAAAAAACACAACAAAAACAAACAACAACAACAAAGAAACCAAAGAACCUUAGCUGUGCCACUUAGAAAACUUGCAUUUUCUGAUAUUUAAGCCUUAAGAAAGCAGUCAGUUUUCCAGGUUGCAGGUUUUUAUGGAACUUUAAGAGAUCUGGAGGCUUAUGGAAAUCCAAGCAUUCCUCAGCUCUCAGAGAGUAGGGUGAUUGUGCCCAAGAUAAACCUUUAUAGAACUUCUCUCUACAGGUUUAAGCAAACCUGGUCUUUCACAAACUAGAGAAAGGAGUUUAUGGCUUUUGUAUUAAUUUCAGUUUGGUUUGUGGUUUUUUUUUUAACCAAAUCUUUCUUGCCUGACUUUCCGUGGAGCUAUAACUAUAAUAUACAGAAAUCCUGCUUUUUUAUGUCUCGUUUUCAUUUGAAAUCAUUUGAAAUUUCAAUCAAGUAAGGUGUAAUGGUCUCCAAUUUCUAUUUUAGUUCUUAGUCAUUUAUCCUCUACUUAGUGCUAAUUUGUAGUUUUGCAUUCAGCUCCAGCAAGUGUCUGUAGAGAGAUUUAGAUCACUUAAACUCAUAGUGGAAAAUAGGAAUUUAUUCUUAGUUGUUUUCUAGUAUCAUAGCCAUGAAUACUGGCUAUUGUUGGAGUCUGUGAGUAGGUGGAGAGUAAGUCACAAUGGCUAACUUGAAAACCAAGACCCUUCCCCACAACCUCACAAUUUGAGGAGGAAGCUGUCCUUGUGACAGCUGUGGUUAAUAGUUUUUGAUAGGUUAUUAAAUUAGUUCGGAAAAUUCAACAUAGAAGUUCUGCACAUUAAAUUAAGUUUAUGCAAGGGUAUUAACAUAGUUAAAAUGAUGUAAGGCUGCUGUGUGAAUAAUCUAGUGGUGAUGUCAAAAGUAUUUUAUAGGCAUAAUUUUCAAAAGCUAGUAAUAAUUAAAAAGGAAAAAUAUUUUAUUUGGCAAAGAGGAAUGAUACUGUUGAUUUUAUUAUUUUCUCUUGAAACAUGCAACUAUCUAAUACAUGCAAUAAGCCAUUAUCCAUAUAUAAAUACAUAUGCAUGUCAGAAGCCUGCUCAUACAUUAUGGAAGUAUGUAAACAUUUUGGGUACCCACAUUUCAGGUGCCAAGGUGUGGCUCCUCCUGGCUCCAAUAAGAACCAUGUGUGUAUUCAUUACAAAAUUUGACCCUUAUGCUUCAAAUAGUGUACACAUAUAUUUCUUAAGAGGAUUGAAUAUUAAACAAGGCAGCUAUUGUGACGUUUGUUUUCAUAUUCUUCUCUGCUAUUUUGACUGAAUAAACCACUCAACUUCUAUUUUUCUUUUGGAUAUUUUUUUUGCCUAUUUUCAUUUAAAUUCUAAGUAAGGCCCCAAAUUGUGCUUUUUUACCUAAUUGUGCUUUUCUAGAGCAGAAAGUUAUGCUUAAGAAUAUCUUAAACUUUCAGUUAAU